AUUUUGAAAGUGACCCUGGGCUGGGGCGCCGGGGCGAGCGCGGCGGCGCGGAACCAUGACAGAAGAUGACCGAGGCGGCGCUGGUGGAGGGCCAGGUCAAGCUGCGGGACGGCAAGAAGACUGCCUGCUGAUGCUGGUCUACAAGGACAAGUCGGAGCGUACCAAGGGCCUGCGGGAGCGCAGCAGCCUGACGCUAGAGGACAUCUGCGGGCUGGAGCCCGGCCUGCCCUACGAGGGCCUGGCCCACACGCUGGCCAUUGUCUGCCUGUCCCAGGCCAUCAUGCUGGGCUUUGACAGCCACGAGGCCAUGUGUGCGUGGGAUGCCCGGAUCCGCUAUGCGCUUGGCGAGGUGCAUAGGUUCCAUGUGACAGUGGCUCCAGGCACCAAGUUGGAGAGCGGCCCGGCUACCCUGCACCUCUGCAAUGAUGUCCUCGUCUUGGCCAGGGACAUCCCCCCGGCUGUCACGGGGCAGUGGAAGCUGUCCGACCUCCGUCGCUACGGGGCCGUGCCAAGCGGAUUCAUCUUUGAAGGCGGGACCAGGUGUGGGUACUG
rnacentral:sRNA from 1 species